rnacentral:rRNA from 1 species
AUUGAACGCUGGCGGCAGGCCUAACACAUGCAAGUCGAGCGGGCGGCGGGCGGGUGAGUAAGGUAUGGGUAUCUGCUCGCUCGGGGGGGGUAACUAAUGGAAACGGUAGCUAAUUACGCCUACUCUCGGAUGGACCCAUCUGGGUUUGGCUAGUAGGUGGGGUAAUGGCUCACCUAGGCGAGGAUCCCUCGCUGGGUUGAGAGGAUGAUCAGCCACACUGGAACUGAGACACGGCCCAGACUCCUACGGGAGGCAGCAGUGGGGAAUAUUGCACAAUGGGCGCAAGCCUGAUGCAGCCAUGCCGCGUGUAUGAAGAAGGCCCUCGGGUUGUAAAGUACUUUCAGUCGGGAGGCGUUACCGGCAGAAGAAGCACCGGCUAACUCCGUGCCAGCAGCCGCGGUAAUAC